GCUCCGUGACGCUGCUGGUGUGGCGGUCGGUCUGUCCAACCGAUGAGCUGGGUUCAAUUCCCUGACGGGGCG
rnacentral:tRNA from 1 species